CCGCCGAGGAGCGCGAGGAGCGCGAGGACCCCGGGGCUGCCGCCGACUGCGGCCGACGCCCUGCGCUCGCUGCGUGCGCUCCUGCGCCCCCGCGCUGCCCCGAGGGUCGGGGGACCCCUGGGAGGAGGAGGAUGGCAGGAGGCAAAGAGAGGACUAAUUCACAGCAGCAAUGUCCACAAUAGCCAAACUGAGGAAGGAGCCACGAUGUCCGUCGACGGACGCAUGGAUAAAGAGGAUGCGGUCCAUGUGUACGUGGAAUACUGCUCAGCCCUCAGGAGGGAGGACACCCGCCAUCUGCUUCGGCGCGGAUGCACCUGGAGGGUAUUAUGCUGAGUGAAAGAUAUUGAGAGAGCACAAACAAGGGGAGCAGAAGCAGAGAGACAGGGAGAAACAGACUCUCUGCCAAGCAGGGACCUUGAUGUGGGGCUCAAUCCCAGGACCUGGAGAUCAUGACCUGACCUGAAGGCAGAUGUCCAACUGGCUGAGCCACCCAGAUACCCCAGCAACAGAGCAAAUUUCUCCACGUGGAUACAUUGGGAAUAGAUAAACAAUCUUUUGGCCUUGGAUUGCUGGUUCAUCUUGACCUGGCAGAAAAGUUUACCUCACCUACAUGUGAUGGAAUAGGAGACAGAUGUAAGUGGGUGUGAUUUGGAUUGCCUUCUUAUGGGGAGGAGGUGAGUGCUUGGGUUAUUAGUGACAUUUUGAAAUAGAAAAUAUGAGAAAAAGAGUGUGUGGAAGUAGAACAGCCAGAAAGGGACAAUAGGCAUUUGUGGUUUUACUUUACAUCUCUCUCUCUCUCUCUCUGUCUUGCUCAAUCUCUCCCCCCCUCCUGCUUUUCCUUCUUUUCCUUUCCUAUUGCCCCCCCCCCCCGCCCCCCACAAUAGCAACCUGAUUUUCCAUGGGGAAUCACCUCCUUCCCACUCUUAGUUUGGUUUGGUUUGGUGUUAAUCACACUAACUCUGCCUCCAGGGAUUGGCAUUUGAGAACACCAAAUCUCCUUGGCCAAAUCAAAGCUUGUUGAGAUGCAAAGCUGGAUUUUUUGAAAGGAAAGCAUUCAUUAUUGUUUAUGCUGGACUUGGAGCUGUGAGGAUGUAAGCCUGGAGCUUUUAGCAACUGUCUUGCCACCUGGAGAGCUGGGCCUGUGGGAGAAUGGAGUCAAGGUACAGGGAAGCAAAGGUGAGAAAAAGGAAAGAACCACAACCUCUGGGAUUGGCUGUGCUAUACCCAGAGCUACCUGGUAAAUUUUUCAAUUGUGUCAACCAGUGAAUUCCUUUCUCUAAGCCUAUUUGAAAUGUUUUCUUUCCUUCCUUUUUUUCCUUCCUCUCUCUCUCCCUUUCACUGAAAGAACCCUAAAUAUCAUAAAAAAGUAUCUGUAUACUCAUGCAUUUCCUGGAGCUAAAGAUGACAUAAGUUUGGUUAAAAGAGAACUUAAAAUACUAUUUACAAACAAACCCUCUUUUUUUAAGAUUUUAUUUUUUUUUAAGAUUUUAUUUAUUUAUUCAUGAGAGAGAGAGAGAGAAAGAGAGACAGGAGGGAGAAGCAGGCUCCAUGAAGG